rnacentral:lncRNA from 1 species
UUUUUUUUUUCUUUCCAGUAUUCCCCCAUCUCGAACAUCCACAAAAUAAUUCACUUUGAAAAAAUGUUAGCACAGGAGAUGGCUGACAUGUCUCAUAUUUCUUGAUAAUGUUUUGCAAAUUUAAAUAUCCACCAUCUAUGUAAUCCCUGAUGAGAGCUCCCCUCCAGUUUUAUGUGUCUGAUCCAAGGACUUCUCUGAAGCAGAAUUAGGAAUACAAGAAUCAACAUACUUUAAGGUCCAGGUACUUGGCCCUGCUGCAGUUAACUGAGGAUUUCAACUCUGAUAUAGUAGACAGAGAUAGGAGGAAAUUCCUCUGACUAUCUGGAAAAUGACUAACACUUUUUAUGUCCCUUCAUUUACAGAUACCUCCUGUUCAUUUCUAAUACCUUAAAUCAGAGAGGAAAACCAAGUAAUCCAAUUACAAUGUUAGUUAUAGUGGAAUUUCUAGUCUGAUUUAAAGAAAGAAAUCUUCCAGGGUGCCUGGGUGGCUCAGUUGGUUAAGCAACCAACUCCUGGUCUCAGCUCAGGUUUUGAUCUCAAGGUUGUGAGUUCAAGCCCUAUGUUGGGCUCCAUGCUGAGUAUGGAGCCUACUUAAAAAUAAGAAGAAGAAGGAGAACUUUAAAAAAAUAAAGAGAUCUAAAAACAAAAACAAAAAAAAACAAUAAAUAAAUAAAUAAAUAAAUAAAUAAAUAAAUAAAUAAAUCUUUAUAAAGACAACUUAGAAGAGUGAAAUUUAAUCUGUCAAUCCUGCCCAUCAAGCUGGUAACUUCCCUAAACGGAUACAAGAUGGUCUCAAUGCCACCAUAAAGGUUCAAAGUUUAUUGAACUGGGGUGGGAUUUCCUGCUAAUUCUUCUCCCAUUACAGUGAAAGCCUGCUUGCAAUUCUAAUCAUAAAGAUUUUAGGGCUGCACCUUCAAAAGUACGAGAACCUACAUAAUUAGCUCUGUUCUCCCUGCUUGAGCCCUGGAGUAUACCUUUUGCCAAUUUGAAGGAGAAAGACAACUUGCAGUCUGUAGACUCCAUUACCACACUAAACCACCUCAAAUACUAAAGAUGCAUGGAAGAGAACACUGCCAGACACGGACAGAGCUUCAAAGGUCUCUCAGUUUCAGAGGAUUUGGGAACUGCUAAUGCUCCCACAUGGAUGACUAAGCUUCUUUGCAUAUGUGAACAACCUAUGCCAGUGGCAUCUUCUCUGGGAAACCUCCCUCAAUCCAUUCUAAAGUGAAUACUCUUCCUCUUGCCCCUGACACACACCACUCAGCUCUAUUAUACUCAUUUUUCAACUUCAGGUUAAAUAUGGUUUCCUCAAGAAGGCAUUUCCCAACCCAGACAGGAUAAAAACCUCUUCCCUGUGCUACUGCAUUCUCUCUUUUGUAACCUUCAUGAUUCCCAGAAUUAUUUAUCCAAUGCCAUUUUCUCUACGAGAUUGUGUGUUCAACCAGGACUAUCUUGUUCACCACUGAAAACCCAGAGCCCGUGAAGUGCCUGGAUUAUAGUCAGUGCUCAGUAAAUGGUUGUUGCACCAAAAAUUUUAAUCCCCGAGGCUCUUUCCUUAGAGAUUCUUUUCUUUCCUGCUGGUGAGAUCCUAGAGAGAACUUUAUAUUACUAAAGAGCAGGAAGCCCAGUGAGUGGCUUCCUGAACAAAGGGACAAAUGAAUGCGAGUAGAAACAAUGGCAAGGAUAAAUUAAUCAACCACAUACAUCCAUCAAAUUCCUACUUGGAGACAGGGCUUUACUGGGCACUGAGGAAGGACACAAGAAGUAAAACAUAUGCUUCCUUUCUUGAAUGAAACAUGAUAUCCCCACCUACCAAGAACCUCACAAGGAAUUCUAUGUAAAUCAGUGAAUCAGUGAGGCUAGGUAAUUCAAUAGAAGGACUAUUUCAAAGAGAAUGGAACCAAGGCUUGUAAGAACCUUCCCAUCCCCCAAGGUACAUAAAAGAGGAAAUGAUGGGUGUCAGUGUCUGAUUACCCAGAGGUGUGAGAAGGAAAGUGGGUGGAACAAUAUGGGACAAAAAGGAUUGGGGACAAGCAGAAGAAUGAACUAGUCAAGAAGGAUGAUGGGCAUUUUGACUCUUGAGUGAUUUCAAGAACAUUAAUAUCAUUGGUGGAAAUAGGGUGGUGAGGAGGUCAGAACUGAUUUAGGGGUGGUCAGAGCAUACGCAUGUACUGAAUCUAAAAUGGUGGGAAUUUAGGAGAAGAAUCAGAAUAGAGAAAUAGGUGUAGGGGAUCCCUGGGUGGCUCAGCGGUUUGGCACCUGCCUUUGGCCCAGGGUGCUAUCCUGGAGUCCCAGGAUGGAGUCCCAGGAUCGAGUCCCACGUCGGGCUCCUGGCAUGGAGCCUGUUUCUCUCUCUGCCUGUCUCUCUCUCUCUCUCUCUCUAUGUCUGUCAUAAAUGAAUAAGUAAAAAAUCUUUAAAAAAAAAAAAAGAAAGAAAUAGGUGUAUGAGUCAGCUGCGUAAUAACAGCAGCUAUCAUUUACUGAGGGUUAAUAAUGAGCAUAGCUUGCACAUAAUUUCGGUUGAUCUUUACAAUAGCCCCAUGGGGUAGUUAUUGUUAUUUGUCUGACUUUGCAGAUAAGAAAAAUAAGGCAUUGGAGGUUAAGUAAUUUUCCCCAAACUCACACAACUGGAAAGUUACAAAAUUACAAUUGGAACACAAAUCUCCCCACUAAAGUCUUAGUUCUU